rnacentral:rRNA from 1 species
UACGGAGGGUGCAAGCGUUAUCCGGAUUCACUGGGUUUAAAGGGUGCGUAGGUGGGAAUGUAAGUCAGUGGUGAAAUCUCCGUGCUUAACAUGGAAACUGCCAUUGAUACUAUGUUUCUUGAAUCUUCCGGAGGUCAGCGGAAUAUGUCAUGUAGCGGUGAAAUGCUUAGAUAUGACAUAGAACACCAAUUGCGAAGGCAGCUGACUACAGGAGCAUUGACACUGAGGCACGAAAGCGUGGGGAUCAAACAGG